rnacentral:rRNA from 1 species
GUGCCAGCAGCCGCGGUAAGACGAACCACACAAACGUUAUUCGGAAUUACUGGGCUUAAAGGGUGCGUAGGCGGCGCGGAAAGUAGGGUGUGAAAUCCCUCGGCUCAACCGAGGAAUUGCGCCCUAAACUACCGUGCUCGAGGGAGAUAGAGGUGAGCGGAACUUAGGGUGGAGCGGUGAAAUGCGUUGAUAUCCUAAGGAACACCGGUGGCGAAAGCGGCUCACUGGAUCUCUUCUGACGCUGAGGCACGAAAGCUAGGGUAGCGAACGGGAUUAGAUACCCCAGUAGUCC